rnacentral:rRNA from 1 species
GGGUUGUGAGGUUAAGCGACUAAGCGUACACGGUGGAUGCCCUGGCAGUCAGAGGCGAUGAAGGACGUGCUAAUCUGCGAUAAGCGCCGGUAAGGUGAUAUGAACCGUUAUAACCGGCGAUUUCCGAAUGGGGAAACCCAGUGUGACUCGUCACACUAUCAUUAACUGAAUCCAUAGGUUAAUGAGGCGAACCGGGGGACUGAAACAUCUAAGUACCCCGAGGAAAAGAAAUCAACCGAGAUUCCCCAGUAGCGGCGAGCGAACGGGGAGGAGCCCAGAGCCUGAAUCAGCAUGUGUGUUAGUGGAAGCGUCUGGAAAGGCGCGCGAUACAGGGUGACAGCCCCGUACACAAAAGCGCAUGUGCUGUGAGCUCGAUGAGUAGGGCGGGACACGUGGUAUCCUGUCUGAAUAUGGGGGGACCAUCCUCCAAGGCUAAAUACUCCUGACUGACCGAUAGUGAACCAGUACCGUGAGGGAAAGGCGAAAAGAACCCCGGCGAGGGGAGUGAAAAAGAACCUGAAACCGUGUACGUACAAGCAGUGGGAGCACAGGUUUACCUGUGUGACUGCGUACCUUUUGUAUAAUGGGUCAGCGACUUAUAUUCUGUAGCAAGGUUAACCGAAUAGGGGAGCCGAAGGGAAACCGAGUCUUAACCGGGCGUUAAGUUGCAGGGUAUAGACCCGAAACCCGGUGAUCUAGCCAUGGGCAGGUUGAAGGUUGGGUAACACUAACUGGAGGACCGAACCGACUAAUGUUGAAAAAUUAGCGGAUGACCUGUGGCUGGGGGUGAAAGGCCAAUCAAACCGGGAGAUAGCUGGUUCUCCCCGAAAGCUAUUUAGGUAGCGCCUCGUGAAUUCAUCUCCGGGGGUAGAGCACUGUUUCGGCUAGGGGGCCAUCCCGGCUUACCAACCCGAUGCAAACUGCGAAUACCGGAGAAUGUUAUCACGGGAGACACACGGCGGGUGCUAACGUCCGUCGUGAAGAGGGAAACAACCCAGACCGCCAGCUAAGGUCCCAAAGUCAUGGUUAAGUGGGAAACGAUGUGGGAAGGCCCAGACAGCCAGGAUGUUGGCUUAGAAGCAGCCAUCAUUUAAAGAAAGCGUAAUAGCUCACUGGUCGAGUCGGCCUGCGCGGAAGAUGUAACGGGGCUAAACCAUGCACCGAAGCUGCGGCAGCGACGCUUAUGCGUUGUUGGGUAGGGGAGCGUUCUGUAAGCCUGUGAAGGUGGCCUGUGAGGGUUGCUGGAGGUAUCAGAAGUGCGAAUGCUGACAUAAGUAACGAUAAAGCGGGUGAAAAGCCCGCUCGCCGGAAGACCAAGGGUUCCUGUCCAACGUUAAUCGGGGCAGGGUGAGUCGACCCCUAAGGCGAGGCCGAAAGGCGUAGUCGAUGGGAAACGGGUUAAUAUUCCCGUACUUGGUGUUACUGCGAAGGGGGGACGGAGAAGGCUAUGUUGGCCGGGCGACGGUUGUCCCGGUUUAAGCGUGUAGGUGUGUGUUCCAGGUAAAUCCGGUUCACUUUAACACUGAGGCGUGACGACGAGGCACUACGGUGCUGAAGCAACAAAUGCCCUGCUUCCAGGAAAAGCCUCUAAGCAUCAGGUAACAUCAAAUCGUACCCCAAACCGACACAGGUGGUCAGGUAGAGAAUACCAAGGCGCUUGAGAGAACUCGGGUGAAGGAACUAGGCAAAAUGGUGCCGUAACUUCGGGAGAAGGCACGCUGACACGUAGGUGAAGUGAUUUACUCAUGGAGCUGAAGUCAGUCGAAGAUACCAGCUGGCUGCAACUGUUUAUUAAAAACACAGCACUGUGCAAACACGAAAGUGGACGUAUACGGUGUGACGCCUGCCCGGUGCCGGAAGGUUAAUUGAUGGGGUCAGCGCAAGCGAAGCUCCUGAUCGAAGCCCCGGUAAACGGCGGCCGUAACUAUAACGGUCCUAAGGUAGCGAAAUUCCUUGUCGGGUAAGUUCCGACCUGCACGAAUGGCGUAAUGAUGGCCAGGCUGUCUCCACCCGAGACUCAGUGAAAUUGAACUCGCUGUGAAGAUGCAGUGUACCCGCGGCAAGACGGAAAGACCCCGUGAACCUUUACUAUAGCUUGACACUGAACAUUGAGCCUUGAUGUGUAGGAUAGGUGGGAGGCUUUGAAGCGUGGACGCCAGUCUGCGUGGAGCCGACCUUGAAAUACCACCCUUUAAUGUUUGAUGUUCUAACGUGGACCCGUAAUCCGGGUUGCGGACAGUGUCUGGUGGGUAGUUUGACUGGGGCGGUCUCCUCCUAAAGAGUAACGGAGGAGCACGAAGGUUGGCUAAUCCUGGUCGGACAUCAGGAGGUUAGUGCAAUGGCAUAAGCCAGCUUGACUGCGAGCGUGACGGCGCGAGCAGGUGCGAAAGCAGGUCAUAGUGAUCCGGUGGUUCUGAAUGGAAGGGCCAUCGCUCAACGGAUAAAAGGUACUCCGGGGAUAACAGGCUGAUACCGCCCAAGAGUUCAUAUCGACGGCGGUGUUUGGCACCUCGAUGUCGGCUCAUCACAUCCUGGGGCUGAAGUAGGUCCCAAGGGUAUGGCUGUUCGCCAUUUAAAGUGGUACGCGAGCUGGGUUUAGAACGUCGUGAGACAGUUCGGUCCCUAUCUGCCGUGGGCGCUGGAGAACUGAGGGGGGCUGCUCCUAGUACGAGAGGACCGGAGUGGACGCAUCACUGGUGUUCGGGUUGUCAUGCCAAUGGCACUGCCCGGUAGCUAAAUGCGGAAGAGAUAAGUGCUGAAAGCAUCUAAGCACGAAACUUGCCCCGAGAUGAGUUCUCCCUGAGACUUUAAGUCUCCUGAAGGAACGUUGAAGACGACGACGUUGAUAGGCCGGGUGUGUAAGCGCAGCGAUGCGUUGAGCUAACCGGUACUAAUGAACCGUGAGGCUUAACCUUACAACGCCGAAG